GCAGAGAAGCAAACUGGACUGAGCAGGCAUGUCCUCAGUUGUUCUCAGCACUUAGUCCUCCACCCCAGGGGACUUUGCGCUGGAGUCCACAGAAACUCUUACAGAUGCAGAGAGGAAAAUAUGACUUUCCACUGAAGACAACUCACUCAGUGCCUCCCCAGAAAGCCUUGGAAGACUUCCAGGCUAACCGGUAUUUGCACCCUGAAUUCCUGUGUGCCACCAAAGGCAUUACUACACCAGGCAAAAGAAAUACCAAGAUUUCUUCUGAGGCUGAAGAGCCAGAGCUUUUUCAUUUUUUUCUGCAGUUCCUACAAGUUCCACAUUUCCAGUUCUACGGAGCGAAGUGGGUAAUUGAAUGGGCUGCUUAAGAUGGAUUGAGGUAGCGGUAAGAUCUCCAUACAGUGAACUGCAUAAAGAUACCAUAUGCAAACAGAGCUGUUUGUGUCUGAUGAACUUCAUCCUGCACAGAUGCACCUCAGGGCAACCCUGUCCAGCCUGGCCCCGUCUAAGGAGCAAAGUGCAAGGACCUUCAUAAUGUUGUUUACUCACUCUCAAGAUUUCCUCCAGGAGUAAGCAUGUUUUGGGGGUGACAGAGAGGAAUAGAUGGUUAGAGGCUUUCCUAUGGGUAAGUUCAUAUCUGCACAGAAGGGAGAUAAGUAAUGAAACAUCAAAGAAACAACAUGAUAAAACACUGUCAUAAGAAAGAAAUCAAAUUCUCCUUUCCCCCAUUCCCCUUUGAGCCACAAAAAGAACUGGCACAGAAAUCCAGACAUGAUCCCUUUCCCUGUCUGGAGGAAGAUGGCUUUGCCUGCCAACCCAACGUGUGAGGGAGGCUGUGACACUAGCAUUGUCCAGAGGAGAGGAAGACCCUACCCUGACACAGACUCAAUACCUGAACUGAAGUGAUCCAUUGGUUCUCCCAGAAGAGACAAAAACUAAUGUGGUUGGUGUAAGCCAAUCUCCAGAUCUUAUUGCAGAUCUGGCUGUAAUACAACCCAGACUCAACCAGCCUGGAGAAGAUCUGUUCUUUUCCAAAUAUCACCAGAAUUCUGCUUCCUAACACUAAGAUUUAUUGCUGAAAAAAAAAGAAAAGAAAAAAAAUUAGAAGAGACUAAUCAAAGAGCCGUAUUUCAAAAGAGAACACAAGAAUGCUGAAAUUUAAGGCAAAUAUUUUAUCUGUCCAAUUGGUUAGAGAUUACACGGACAAAUUUAUAGGCAUUAGAUUGGACACCAGAGAGCUUCCAUAUUGUUCUGUAAAUGAAUGUGUUGCAGAAGUAGUAAUAUUAAAUGCAACAGAGGCAAAGUUGUGUUAAAAAAACACAUGUUCUAUAUCCUAUGCUGUGAUCAGCUGGGAAGACAGGCAAAUUACAGCUGAAAAGAUGAAGGAUUUUCCACAUUUGGGUAAGAUUCACUUCAAUUUUACACAUGAGCCAGUGAUGGCCCUCUUAGCAGCACAGUGCCACAGGACAAUGUUUUAAAGCAUCACUUAAGAUGACUCAGGGCACUGGCCUAGGAUGAAGGAAUGGCACCUACAGAUGUCCAAGAACCAGUGUGUAGAGCACUUGUAGCCUUCCUACAAGGGAUUCUGUCCAAAUACUAACGAGACCCAACCUCACUUAGCUGAUAAGAUUUGACAAGGCCACCUCAGACUGAGAUGCCAUGGCUACAGGCAGCAGUGUGUGUAGUAUUGCUUACCACGCUUAGAUAGUAGAGACAGGCUGCAAAUGACAAUGUGAGAGAGAAGAGAACCUAAAAGAGUCAAGGUUGUGAAGGAGAGAAGAGGUAGAACUAAAAAGUGUUUCUGGAAUGGGGGUUAUGUGUUGGUGCAGGGGCUAAAAACAUUCCUCAGCUCCUCUAAUUUGACUACUUUGAAAAGACUGAAUGAAUUUCAGAGCAGAAACAAUGUUCCUAUAACCAUUGCUUCCAGGAUAGAUUUACAGCAUUAACCCACUGGGACAGAUUCAGUGUUGGAGUGAUUGAACGUAACCCUACUGAAGUUAAUGGACUUGUGCAUGUUUUAUCAAAGAUGAAUAUAUACUAUAUAGGGAAGGAAAGUGGGAUUUAACCUGCAAAUUACCUGUUCUAGAGAUUAACAACAAAAUGUAUGAUGAAAAGACAAGCAAGAAUUUGGGGUUGUAUUUUAUUUAUUUAUUUAUUUAUUUAUUUUGAAGUACAUAAUUCUAAACUCAUCCAGAUUGCCUACUUUCCCUGUGUUCCUAAUCACCCCAAACCUUCCCCAGUAGCUAACACUGCGAAGAGUUGUAUUCAGUAAUCAUAUUAUUGUAACAACUGGAGAUCUUAAGAAGAUCUUGCUACAGUCUGUGCUCUAUAAACACAAAAUCAUGCCUAAUCCCUUGUGUUUGGAAGCAGGAUCUGGGGGGUAUCUAGAAUCAUAGAAUAAGAAGAACCUCUUCCACUUAUUUUUCUGUGGACAUGGUGGUCAAUUAUUUCUGCAGAAGUUCACAGUUGGAGUCAAGAUUUCACACAGUGGGAAAGAUGUCCAAGGGGCAAUAACUAGGACACAUACCUAGCUACAGAACAGUCAAUUUUAGGGAGACUUAAAUAAUUGCACCUCAACUAACAAAAUAUCAGAUUAAAAUGAUGAACAGAGAAAAUGAGGGGAACAGGACAAAUGAGGGGACUGUCUACUGUAUCUUCGUUGAUGUUGAUAGGGUAAUAAAUCAACAGGAGACAAGAUUGAUAGAGGAAUAAAUAAUUACUGCUUGUAUAUUAAGUCUUACAUUCUGCUCUGUAAGUAUGUAAGUACUAUAAGUGACUUAGAUGAAAGUAGCUGUCAUUAAAUUAUAUUAUAUUAUUAAGCCUGUACUAGUUAAUACUACCAAUGUCGUUGAUUAGUAAUUUGGAAGUAUUAUCUGAAGCACCUUGGUUUUUGAAUGAUGUGGCUGGAUAGUGUAGCACCAGCAGGUGCCCCAGGAAUUUUUCUCUUGGAGGAACAUUUUGUAAAAUGAUCGUGGGCUCUGCUUGCUAAGACACAAGGUGAUGAUGGUCAUAUACUCACUCCAUGGUGGAAUGAGUUUAUAUCUCCACUUGCAAUACAAACUUAUUCUCAGAGCUUAUAUGGAAAGUUAAAAACAGGAAUUAAAUAAAUUAGUUUUAAAUCCUACCUUAACAAAAGCAUCAGACCAACUGCAAGGUCUUCCCCACAAAAGUCUCUUACACCACUGUCAGUAGGUGGGUUUUCAGGCUGAUGUCAGCUGGAUUGCACUCUGUGUAGGUAAGUAUAAGUAGGUAGGUCUAUGCAACACUUCCCCCUCACCCUUUCCUCCUUCUCCUCUUCCAAGGUGGCAUUUCAGAGGCAUGCCAAGAAAGGGCAACCCCAGAGGGACUGUCAAAAAACAGCACAACCCAGAGCAGCCCCGAGGCUGUUCUGAAUUGCACCAGGGGUUAAGCCUGCCUCCAGCCAGCCUCAGGAUUUGGGGUGUACAUACAUUGUGGCACAGCCCACUAUCUCCCCACUCCUGGGGAAACUGGCUGGUAUUCAAGGGCAUCUGAGAGUGAAUUGCACAGAACUACUCUGGAUUCAGAGUGGUGUAGUGGGGAGCAAAGACUAGUCCUUUAGCACUGCUUUGCCCAGAAGAAGAUAAUAAAAUCACAGAAUAUCCCCAGUUUGAAGGGGUUCAUAAUGAUCAUUGAGUCCAACUCCUUGCUCCCCACAGGACCAUCCAAAAGUCAAACCACAUGCUCUGAAUCUCAGCCACCAAAACUGUGUCAGAAGAGCCACAUUUUUUUUUUAUGCAGGUAUGGCCUGAACUCAAAUCUGCACUGUGCGGAACUAAUUGUCUGUUUAAAGUAUUCACCAUGUCAGCCCAUGCUAAAUGCCCAGGACAAGUACAACAGGGAAAAGCAGUGCAUUUUCAAAUGGACAUUUACUGUUGUAGGAUGUAUCCUUUUCUGUCCAGGUCUGGGAAGCCUCUAACACUGGUUAAUUAUCUCCAAGAUGAAGGGCUUAAUUGGGAAUGUCACAAGCUAAACUUUCUUCUCUUUGAAGAGCUGUCUACCUCACAUGGUUCUGAGAGAAAUGCUAGACAGCAAAUUCAGUUCAGUUUUCAUUGUUUCUUUCCUGUUCCAUAAAAAUGCAACCAUGCAGGGAAACACUAUUGAAUAUGUCCUCUGUGCUUCCAACCACAUACCCACUGCUUUUGUGAUGACACCCAGACACAAGAGAGAGAAUGAUGAUGAAGGUCAAACGUGGAGAGGGAAAACUCUAAACAAUAAUGAAUGAUUUAUGGCAUAGGAGAAUCUUAUCUGGGUCACACUUUUGAAGGGUCCCAUUUCUCAACUCUUCUAAUUCUUGAAUUAAUUAACUUCUCACACCCAUUACUUUGUUUCUGUUUUCCAGUGUAGCUCAGGACGCCCAGGUGACAGGUUGAGUGAUGCACUUUGGAGCAGCGAUUCUUCUUGCACUUUGUGAAAGAGCUUUUGCCAGUCAGCCUUGUCUGCAGUGACAGGAGACAGAGACACUCCUUGCUGGUUCUUUCUCAGCCUUCCUCUUGCUCUGUAUAUCCAGACCUCUUCCACAUCUUACUCUAUGGUCACUGCCCAGACUUCACUUGUGUGGUCAACAGAGCUGGAAAUCUUCCUUUCAAGCGUGCUCAUCUGAAACAGAUUUAAAGUAUUUGAACACCCUCCAGGUACGUGUGAUUGCACAGGGCAACUGACUCUUUCCAAAGAAGAAACUCCUAGAACACAUUCUUAUUAUCUAUGAUGUUCCCAUUGCUUGCAUGGACCUCAUCCAUCUUCUUGCACUGACUCUCUGAUUCUGCCACUUAAAGAGCAGUACAAGGUCAGAGCUUGACAGAGGAUCUUGACAGUUAUCUUCUUACAGUCUGACCAUCUAUGGUUUGUCCACAGAUCCUUCAAAAUACCCCCUGAAGAUCAUCUUAAUUGUGUCUUCUGCAUGGGCAGCCACUGAACUCUUUGAGGACUUCACGGUGAAGAGUGUAAUCUCAAGUUCAGGAAGUUGCCUAACAGAGUCCCUUGGCUUGAUGAGAAAAGAGAAAACAAAAAUAAUAAUGAGUCAUUAAAGGCAAUCAAAAAUUAAUUCUGCAAUAAAUAUAUAUGCAAUCUG